UUUGAAUUUGUGGCAGUACUGCUGAUUACAUCAGUCUCUAGCAAGACUUUGCAUACAGUAUUGACUAUUAUAAGUUAAACUUCCAUACAGUAUUGAUGUGUUUCUUAUAUAAUUAAGAUGGUUUGACAGGUCAAUAGGAGUACAAGAACACAUAAACUAUCAUUUACCCCAGAUACACAAUCAGAGUAAAGGUCCAACUUUCAGUAGAGUGGAGGGAAAGUGGGACAGAAAGGAGGUGAUCUGGAAGGUUCCUUAGAGGAAGACAAGCUAUUCAAGCACUCCAACGUGGGCUGUAACAAAGAACCAGGAAUACACACCAGGUUCAGCACAUAUAUUUCACACAUAUAUUUUCAAUGGUGAGAUGGGUAAGAGGACGAUGGCGCGGACCAGGUGGAAUACAUAGAGCAGGAGGCAUACGUGUCCAACAACGUCCACUUUUGAGUGAUAUACAAGAUAGGGAACACGAAGUACAUUCGGACGAUUCAACUCAACCACCAAAUGUUGGUGGUGAUGAGACAGUGGAAGCUAUAGCAAAUGAGGCUGAAAGGGUUGUGAGCACUGAACAUAAUGAAGCUUUGCCAACUCGAAAACGUGGUCGGGGACCAGCAAAAGACACGCUUUUUGAACGCAUUCGGAAAUUUGGGAAAAUACCUCUGAAUAUUAAGGAUGGACAAAGAGGUCCAUGUUGUGAGAAUUACAACAUAU